rnacentral:misc_RNA from 1 species
UUGCAUUCCCAAAUUUCAUAACCUAUUCCAGGGAAACAAACAAAAAAUGAAUAAGGAAAUCCAAGAUAUAAGACAACAAUGUUACCUGAAUUGAAGUUACCACACUAUAAGCAUUCUAUGCUAGACUCCAACCAUGGACAUGCAUGCACCAGAAUUCAUGGCCAAAUGAUGCAGGAACUUCAAUCAAGUAGAGGAACAAUAAAUAUCAGGUCCAAAAUUGUAAAAUUUAUUCAACAAUCACUUUGAAUUUUAAACACAAUUCUUUCUCCCACAAAAAUAUACAUGCACUUAACUGAAUGCAGCUAAAAGUCCCAUGAGAAACAAGAAUAUCAUUGUG